CUCAGGAUGAACGCUAGCGGCGCGCUUAAUGCAUGCAAGUCGAGCGAUGAGGACCUUCGGGUGUACAUCAGCGGCAGACGGGUGAGUAACACGUGGGUGACCUACCCUAAAGACGGGGAUACCCUCGGAAACGGGGGCUAAUACCGGAUAGCUACAGCGUACGGGGGUAUGUUGUAGAAAGCUACGGCGCUUUAGGAGGGGCCUGCGGCCCAUCAGCUAGUUGGUAGGGUAACGGCCUACCAAGGCGAAGACGGGUAGGGGGUGUGAGAGCACGGCCCCCCACAAUGGGACUGGAACACGGCCCAUACUCCUACGGGAGGCAGCAGCAGGGAAUAUUGCGCAAUGGGCGAAAGCCUGACGCAGCGACGCCGCGUGAGUGAAGACGGCUUUCGAGUUGUAAAACUCUUUUCUGGGGGAAGAGGAAGGACGGUACCCGAGGAAUAAGCGUCGGCUAACUACGUGCCAGCAGCCGCGGUAAGACGUAGGACGCGAGCGUUAUCCGGAUUUACUGGGCGUAAAGCGCCUGUAGGCGGCUUUGUAAGUUGGGCGUGAAAGCCCCGUGCUUAACGCGGGGAAGCCGUUCAAUACUGCGGAGCUAGAGUACGGCAGAGGGGAGUGGAAUUCCUGGAGUAGCGGUAAAAUGCGCAGAUAUCAGGAGGAACACCAGUGGCGAAGGCGGCUCCCUGGGCCGAGACUGACGCUCAGAGGCGAAAGCUAGGGGAGCGAACAGGAUUAGAGACCCUGGUAGUCCUAGCCCUAAACGAUGGAUGCUAGGUGUGGGGACGAGGAGUUUCCGUGCCGGAGCAAACGCGAUAAGCAUCCCGCCUGGGGACUACGGCCGCAAGGUUAAAACUCAAACGAAUUGACGGGGGCCCGCACAAGCAGCGGAGCGUGUGGUUUAAUUCGAUGCUACACGAAGAACCUUACCUGGGUUUGACAUGUAGGUGGUAGCGAGGCGAAAGCUGAGCGACCCUUCGGGGAGCCUACACAGGUGCUGCAUGGCUGUCGUCAGCUCGUGCCGUGAGGUGUCGGGUUAAGUCCCGUAACGAGCGCAACCCUUGCUCCUAGUUAUACGUGUCUAGGGGGACUGCCGGCGGGAAGCCGGAGGAAGGUGGGGAUGACGUCAAGUCAGCAUGGCCCUUAUGUCCAGGGCUACACACACGCUACAAUGGCCAGUACAAAGGGUAGCGAAGCCGCGAGGUGGAGCGAAUCUCAGCAAAGCUGGUCGUAGUUCGGAUUGCAGGCUGCAACCCGCCUGCAUGAAGCUGGAGUUGCUAGUAACCGCGCGUCAGCUAUAGUGCGGUGAUACGUUCCCGGGCCUUGUACACACCGCCCGUCACGUCAUGGGAGUCGGCAACGCCUGAAGGCGGUAGCUUGACCUGAUAAAGGGGAGCGCUGUCGAGGG
rnacentral:rRNA from 1 species